AAUCAACGCUGGCGGCGUGCCUAACACAUGCAAGUCGCACGAGAAAGGGCAGCAAUGCCUGAGUACAGUGGCGCACGGGUGAGUAACACGUGAAUGAUCUACCUCCGAGUGGGGAAUAACUGAGAGAAAUCUUAGCUAAUACCGCAUAACACUUACGAGUCAAAGCAGCAAUGCGCUUGGAGAGGAGUUCGCGGCAGAUUAG
rnacentral:rRNA from 1 species